UUUUCUUCAUUUUGCAGACUUUUUUAAAGAUGACUGGGAGGUGAGAUCUAAUGCUUCUAUCGAAAUUCCUCCAACUCUGGGAAGAUGGAACACAAAAAAAUGUCUCUGCACCUAAUCUGGAUAUUAGCUGUGCUGGAUCUGUUUUCCAGAAUGCUGUCUGAUGUGGUAGCUGUGUAGAUCUAAUGAAUGAAAUUAAAAGCACAUUGUGGUAAUAAAUGUUAUGCUCUUUUGCCAGUUACAUGUGAGUCCUGCCAUAAUAAAUGUUUCUGAUUUAUGAACAGCUAAAAAUGAGCAAACACAACACCAUAAAUGAUCACUGAUAAUUAAAAUCUCCCAUGAAAAUUGAA